GGAAACUUAGAAGAAGGACGGUUUGUAUGGAAAGUGGCGCCACCUUUUAUAUAAUGGUAAACAUCAUUUCAUCUCAUGGCUGAGAAGAAGCAUCAUUUCUGUCAUCGAGACAUUCAUGUGUCAUCAAACCGCUACGUUAUUUCGUAUUUCUAUUUCUGUUCUUGUAUUCUUAGUUAAAUGUUGUUUCAUUCAUUUUGUUUUUAAUUAAAAUGUGUUUUCGUGAAAAAUGACGCUGUACGCAACUGUGUUUUAGAUGGACUGAUUAUGGUGCACAUAUACACGGUUUCCCCCUUUCUGAGAGAAGGUCAGUGAAGUUCAGAAAAUGUGUGCCAAUCACUGGAAUUAUAGAGCCAUAAACUGAUGUGUCUGAAAUUAGUAGGUGGGUCCAUGUGUGUAUAUGUAAAAAUUAUAUUUUUUUAUUUGUAAUUUUUUAUUGUAAAGAAAAAUCUGCUUGCCUAUGUUGUAAGAGAAUAUGUUCAGAGUGUUUAAACUCGCAAAUAACUACAAAUUGCCAGUUGUCAGCUUGCAUGUGACUGAAAAUAUUUUGGGGUUUGGUUUUAAUUACAGGGUGUGCAUUCUUUUGUGACCGCGCUAUACUAUUUAUUACCGUAAAUGUAAUUUUCAAAUAUAUA